UAUGAAAGUGGCGCACGGGUGCGUAACGCGUAUGCAACCUACCUUAAUCAGGGGGAUAGCCCGAAGAAAUUCGGAUUAACACCGCAUAAAAACACAGGAUAGCAUUAUCCAAUGUUCAAAUAUUUAUAGGAUUAAGAUGGGCAUGCGUGUCAUUAGCUAGUUGGCGGGGUAAUGGCCCACCAAGGCGACGAUGACUAGGGGAUCUGAGAGGAUGACCCCCCACACUGGUACUGAGACACGGACCAGACUCCUACGGGAGGCAGCAGUAAGGAAUAUUGGUCAAUGGAGGCAACUCUGAACCAGCCAUGCCGCGUGCAGGAAGACUGCCCUAUGGGUUGUAAACUGCUUUUAUCUGGGAAUAAACCUUUCUACGAGUAGAGAGCUGAAUGUACCAGAAGAAUAAGGAUCGGCUAACUCCGUGCCAGCAGCCGCGGUAAUACGGAGGAUCCAAGCGUUAUCCGGAUUUAUUGGGUUUAAAGGGUGCGUAGGCGGCCUGUUAAGUCAGAGGUGAAAGACGGUAGCUCAACUAUCGCAGUGCCUUUGAUACUGAUGGGCUUGAAUAAACUAGAGGUAGGCGGAAUGAGACAAGUAGCGGUGAAAUGCAUAGAUAUGUCUCAGAACACCGAUUGCGAAGGCAGCUUACUAUGGUUUUAUUGACGCUGAGGCACGAAAGCGUGGGGAUCAAACAGGAUUAGAUACCCUGGUAGUCCACGCCCUAAACGAUGAAUACUCGCUGUUAGCGAUAUACAGUUAGCGGCUAAGCGAAAGCGUUAAGUAUUCCACCUGGGGAGUACGCUCGCAAGAGUGAAACUCAAAGGAAUUGACGGGGGCCCGCACAAGCGGAGGAGCAUGUGGUUUAAUUCGAUGAUACGCGAGGAACCUUACCCGGGCUUGAAAGUUAGUGAAUUAUUCAGAGAUGAAUAAGUGAGCAAUCACACGAAACUAGGUGCUGCAUGG
rnacentral:rRNA from 1 species